AAGUCGUAACAAGGUUUCCGUAGGUGAACCUGCGGAAGGAUCAUUGAGAGAGUGGAGGGGAGAGAUGUUGGAAUGAAAUAUAGAUAUCACGUGACAAAAAAAUUAUUUUUCAAUAUGACUAGCCACCUGGGAUCUCUGGGCUCUU
rnacentral:misc_RNA from 1 species